GUGCGAUCAUACCAACACUAAUGCACCGGAUCCCAUCAGAACUCCGCAGUUAAGCGUGCUUGGGCGAGAGUAGUACUAGGAUGGGUGACCUCCUGGGAAGUCCUCGUGUUAAGCAUU
rfam:Corchorus olitorius cultivar O-4 contig16633, whole genome shotgun sequence.